rnacentral:rRNA from 1 species
AGUGAACGCUGGCGGUAGGCCUAACACAUGCAAGUCGAACGGCAGCACAGUAAGAGCUUGCUCUUACGGGUGGCGAGUGGCGGACGGGUGAGGAAUACAUCGGAAUCUACUUUUUCGUGGGGGAUAACGUAGGGAAACUUACGCUAAUACCGCAUACGACCUACGGGUGAAAGCAGGGGAUCUUCGGACCUUGCGCGAUUGAAUGAGCCGAUGUCGGAUUAGCUAGUUGGCGGGGUAAAGGCCCACCAAGGCGACGAUCCGUAGCUGGUCUGAGAGGAUGAUCAGCCACCCUGGAACUGGGCCACGGUCCAGGCUCCUACGGGAGGCAGCAGUGGGGAAUAUUGGACAAUGGGCGCAAGCCUGAUCCAGCCAUACCGCGUGGGUGAAGAAGGCCUUCGGGUUGUAAAGCCCUUUUGUUGGGAAAGAAAAGCAGCAGGUUAAUACCCCGCUGUUCUGACGGUACCCAAAGAAUAAGCACCGGCUAACUUCGUG